rnacentral:rRNA from 1 species
CACGGGGGGAGCAAGCGUUGGUUCGGAAUCACUGGGCGUAAAGGGCGUGUAGGCGGUCAGAUAAGUGGAAUGUGAAAUGCCCCGGCUCACCCGGGGACCGGCAUCCCAAACUGUCUGGCUUGAGUAUGGGAGAGGAUGAGGGAAUUCCUGGUGUAGCGGUGAAAUGCGUAGAUAUCAGGAGGAACACCGGUGGCGAAGGCGG